AUUGAACGCUGGCGGCAUGCCUAACACAUGCAAGUCGAACGAGCGGCGGACGGGUGAGUAAUGUAUGGGAAUGUGCCCAGUAGAGGGGGAUAACUCCUGGAAAGCGUGGCUAAUACCGCAUACUAUCGGUUGGACACAUAUGGGAUUAGCUAGUGGGUGGGGUAAAGGCUCACCAAGGCGACGAUCCCUAGCUGGUCUGAGAGGCGGAGCAGCCACACGGGGACUGAGACACGGCCCAGACUCCUACGGGAGGCAGCAGUGGGGAAUAUUGCACAAUGGGGGCAAGCCUGCUGCAGCCAUGCCGCGUGUAUGAAGAAGGCCUUAGGGUUGUAAAGUACUUUUAGCGGGGAGGCGGUACCUGCAGAAGAAGCACCGGCUAACUCCGUGCCAGCAGCCGCGGUAAUAC
rnacentral:rRNA from 1 species